CAGAUGACCAUCACUGCAGUUUCCAAAUCUUUGCCACCACAGAAGAGCAACUUGAUUCAAAUGAAUAUGCUAAGGAUCAGAGAAGCAAAUUAUGGCUAAUUACCUGAAGUCGCACAGCUAGUGAAUAGCAGAGCUGAGAAUUCACCUUGAUCUUUCAACUUCAAGAUUGGGACACUCCUGCUGCUCUAAACCAUGUUUCUUAAAGGAGUGCCCAGAUUAGUCCCAAAACAUGGUUCAGUGAAUAUCAGCACAAGUUUUCUCUUCCCAGGGAAUUAACUCUUGGAGGAGAUAGGUUGAAUCCAAAUGUAAGAAAACUUAGGAAGUAAGGGGAAUAUAAAGAAGUUUUGAAAAUAAAACAGCUAGAAAACAGUGGGUAAGUUGAUAGAAAAGU